GACAGAGGGUGCAAACGUUGUUCGGAAUUACUGGGCGUAAAGCGCGUGUAGGCGGCCAUGCAAGUCGGAUGUGAAAGCCCUCGGCUCAACCGGGGAAGUGCACUCGAAACUGCAAGGCUAGAGUCUCGGAGAGGAUCGUGGAAUUCUCGGUGUAGAGGUGAAAUUCGUAGAUAUCGAGAGGAACACCGGUGGCGAAGGCGGCGACCUGGGUAGAUACUGACGCUGAGGCGCGAAAGCGUGGGGAGCAAACAGG
rnacentral:rRNA from 1 species